rnacentral:lncRNA from 1 species
GCGACGCUUCCAUCGAACGACGUCCAUACCACAAAAACUGCAGCUGCGCGCUUCAUAAAAGAUCUUGUCGCCACAAAAGGUCCGAGGUUGUCUGGUUCCCUAUCACACGGUCCUGGAGCGAAGGCAAUAGUAUGGCUCUGCAUCUCACCUCGUCUUCAUCUUCCUCUAAUCUCCACUCGCUUUCAUCGUCUUCGUCUAUUUCUACGCUUGCAUCGUUAUCUUCCACAGCUUCUUUGACCAUGUCUGAUAUUGAUUCAUCCAUUGAAGGCUUAAAAUAUUAGUUAACACAUUCAAUUACCUAUUUUUUGAAGAGAGUCCAAUGAUCUUUUUUGUUCUUGUGUAAUUAGAAAGGUUUCUUGGGUUGCUUCCCAAAUAAAAAGAAUUUGAAUAUCAUUUGUUUUAUUAUUUAUAAUUGUAAUGGUCAAAUAUGUGAAUAUAAAUUGUAACGGUCAAAUAUAUGUGAAUAAAAUUUGUAAUUGUCAAAUAGAUAUAUAAUCCUGACCCGGAAAAACCUGACAUCUCCGAAAAGCCCAACCAACCAGAAAAGAGGUUUGGCUCCAAUUCGGUUAUACAAAAUAACUCGAAGACUUCCUCAUCAGAUGAGUUUGAGAUUCCGAUUCCGUUCGGAUUAAGACUUGGAAUUAAUCGGGUACCUGACAUAUGAAUAUGUCAUAUGUUAUGUGUGACUACUAUGAUGGAUGUGAUUUUCAUAGUAAAAUUUAGUGUGGGUUACCACUAGAGCUACAUCUACGAGUAAAGAAAUUACUUUAUUAGAUGGAGGUGAUUUUCAUAGUACAAAUUUGCCCUAUAUACUAAGGUUUUUGUCUAACUUUUUUUUUUUUUUUUGGAUUUUGACAAAGAUGGACCGAUCGCUAUGCAACAGAUCGGCUAACCAAUGCAAAAUUUCUAAAAGAAAAUUUCGUAAAUAAUCACCUUGGAUUGACCGGUCCUCGGCAAUUAGAUCGGCCGAUCCCUACCACACAUAUUCAAAGCAUAUUACGACAAACCAAAUAAUUAAAAAAAAUACAAAAAUGUUCUAUACAAAAUAUGAAGAAAAUGAAAAGGGAAAAAGAGAUGUUGGAAAUGCUUGUGUAGAGGGUAGUUCAGAUGUUCUGAUAUUCGAGAGUCAAAGAUCCCGAAAAGAGAGCCAUAACACACACGCACACGCUUCUCACGAUCGAUCGCCAACUUCUUCAACCACUAUUUCUGCUUAACUAUAAAAAACAUUAAUAACCCCAAAAUCAGAAUUCAUUCAUCUUUGACAAUAAUAAAAACUCUCUUUGUAAACGACAACGCGUUCACAGUGAUUCUCUUUCACGGUGAAUGAUGGCUGCUGGAUCAGUGGAUGGGAUCUUCCGUAACAUCUUCGAAGGAUGCAUCUCUAGCUGCGACGCUUCCAUCGAACGACGUCCAUACCACAAAAACUGCAGCUGCGCGCUUCAUAAAAGAUCUUGUCGCCACAAAAGGUCCGAGGUUGUCUGGUUCCCUAUCACACGGUCCUGGAGCGAAGGCAAUAGUAUGGCUCUGCAUCUCACCUCGUCUUCAUCUUCCUCUAAUCUCCACUCGCUUUCAUCGUCUUCGUCUAUUUCUACGCUUGCAUCGUUAUCUUCCACAGCUUCUUUGACCAUGUCUGAUAUUGAUUCAUCCAUUGAAGGCUUAAAAUAUUAGUUAACACAUUCAAUUACCUAUUUUUUGAAGAGAGUCCAAUGAUCUUUUUUGUUCUUGUGUAAUUAGAAAGGUUUCUU